rnacentral:rRNA from 1 species
UACGGGGGGAGCAAGCGUUGUUCGGAUUUACUGGGCGUAAAGGGCGCGUAGGCGGUCAGCACAAGUCAGUUGUGAAAUCUCCGGGCUUAACUCGGAAAGGUCAACUGAUACUGUGCGACUAGAGUGCAGAAGGGGCAACUGGAAUUCUCGGUGUAGCGGUGAAAUGCGUAGAUAUCGAGAGGAACACCUGCGGCGAAGGCGGGUUGCUGGGCCGACACUGACGCUGAGGCGCGAAAGCGUGGGGAGCGAACAGG